AAAGAAUUCUCGAAUCAUUCUUGAAAGAAGAAGAAUCGUAAUCGUGUAAGAAAACCAGUGGUCAGUGGACACGUGAAAUCGGUCGAAGGCAGGUUGGCGCACGCGUUACCAUCGAUCAAGGAUACCUGAACGAAGACGAAGGAUACGAGUAGACCUCGAGUCAGGGUCAACCGAGAAGGUGGCGACCUAACCUCAAAUCCCAGCCAGGGUAACAUGACACCGUGUUUGGAAUUCUGUGCAACACACCGAUGAAUGAAAUGUAAAUACGUUCGCGGACCGUGUUGGUUGAUGACUUCUUGCAAACUGCACUGGCGCUAUCCCCUCCAAUUUCAUGGAACAACCCGUUCAACCAUCGCUCAACUACUCACGAGUCGUUGAAAAGGGAAACGUUGAUUUUUAAGGAGAGCUGUGAGAAAAUUAACAGAAGAUGCGGAGAACGGACGAGAGACCAAGUGAUCCUUUCUUUCAACGAACCAGACCCGAGGACAAAGAUUCCCCGGGAAAUCAAUUAACCUAACCGAGGAUACGAGUCGUCGCCACUCGGAUAUCGAGCAUCUCUUCCUUCUUUUUACGGCUAACUUCCUUGAUUCCGUUUCCACCACGUGCUGGGUUAAUGAAGCGGCGCCGAAAGGAACCGGAAAGAAUUCAGCUGCACGGAGGAAGAGAGACGAGAGGGCUCGAGGCAUAGAAAAGGAAGCUGUUCAGGGUUGACUGAGAGCGGGAACACGCGAGAAGAGAGCUUUAAAAGGCAAUGGGGGCGACAAAAGUCAGCUAAAAGCGCCGCGGACCGCCGGUAGGCGCAUGAAUAAUAAUCUCUGAUUAAUAGAGCGCUAAGCUGCCGGUGACUCGGUGCAUGAAUGGACGUAGUACUAUUAAGCGGCGCGUAUAUCAUACCUGUGGCGAUACCAUGUAGUUUCGUGUUAUUACAUCAGACUUUCCCACCAGAAUUCAGACACCCAUCUCUUCGAGAAUACGCGAACGAUUUGAACGUCUAGAAUUUUUUAAAAGGAAAACUAUCGAAUUUUCUGUGUUUCCUUUCAUUUGGAAACUCGUGAAAUUCUAGGCUAACAUAUUUGCUCCAUUAUUCUAUAAUUUACUUGCUACAAUACCGAGGAACGCACCGGUGAAAACGGCGAGGGAGGAAAUUUUGAAUUUACGAUAGAAAUUUGAUGUGUUACCUCAAAGUUGCACGAGCUCAUAGAGGAUUAAUACUGUUUGAAGCUUUCGCAAGCGGUCUCCAAAAGGAAACUAUUUCUAUGAUCAUAUCCGGAACAUGAAUACGGGUUCUCUGUAAAGAGUGUACCGAUGAAGCCAGCUCCGAUGUUAUAUUUCAAAUGUAAUUUACUUAUAUUUUAAAUAGUGUUAAGUGUAAUUCCAUUGUUUUAGAAUUUCGAAUCGCUUUGAUAUUAGAAGUAAAAAUAGAAUGUGGAAAGACGGAGUGUAAUUCGCGAUUAUAAAACACGAUACCUCGGUCGGGUAAUUCGUGAACAGUGUGGACGAACCUAAACGUGGUUAUCAUUGCAAUAACAAUAGCAAACAGACGGGCUGGUCAUUAAGUUAUAAUUACGUCUAAAUGCCGUGGCAAAUUGUGCCGUUUUAUUGGGCGAUUUGCAACACGCGACAAAUGUUUGUCAAAAUAAUGCACGAUAAUGUAAUUUGCACUUUGCGAUGACUGUUGCACGCGGAAACUUCUGUCACUAAAUCUGUCAACUUUUCUACCUUACCAUUCUAUUUCUGUAUUCUGUGAAAUAAUAAAUUAAUAGAAGACAA